UACGUAGGUGGCAAGCGUUGUCCGGAUUUACUGGGCGUACAGGAUGCGUAGGCGGAUAUUUAAGUGAGCUGUGAAAUUCCCGAGCUUAACUUGGGAGCUGCAUUUCAAACUGGAUAUCUAGAGUGCGGGAGAGGAGAAUGGAAUUCCUAGUGUAGCGGUGAAAUGCGUAGAGAUUAGGAAGAACACCAGUGGCGAAGGCGAUUCUCUGGACCGUAACUGACGCUGAGGCAUGAAAGCGUGGGUAGCAAACAGG
rnacentral:rRNA from 1 species